rnacentral:rRNA from 1 species
GUGGGGAAUAUUGGACAAUGGGGGAAACCCUGAUCCAGCAAUGCCGCGUGAGUGAAGAAGGCCUUAGGGUUGUAAAGCUCUUUCGCCCGUGACGAUGAUGACGGUAACGGGAGAAGAAGCCCCGGCUAAUUCCGUGCCAGCAGCCGCGGUAAUACGGAAGGGGCUAGCGUUGUUCGGAUUUACUGGGCGUAAAGCGCAUGUAGGCGGCGGAUCAAGUGGGGCGUGAAAGGCCUGGGCUCAACCUGGGAACUGCGCUUCAGACUGGUUCGCUCGAGUUCGGGAGAGGGUGGUGGAAUUCCCAGUGUAGAGGUGAAAUUCGUAGAUAUUGGGAGGAACACCGGUGGCGAAGGCGGCCACCUGGCCCGAGACUGACGCUCAAGUGCGAAAGCGUGGGGAGCAAACAGGAUUAGAAACCCGUGUAGUCC